AGUGAACGCUGGCGGUAGGCCUAACACAUGCAAGUCGAACGGCAGCACAGUAAGAGCUUGCUCUUACGGGUGGCGAGUGGCGGACGGGUGAGGAAUGCAUCGGAAUCUACUUUUUCGUGGGGGAUAACGUAGGGAAACUUACGCUAAUACCUCAUACGACCUCCGGGUGAAAGCAGGGGAUCUUCGGACCUUGCGCGAUUGAAUGAGCCGAUGUCGGAUUAGCUAGUUGGCGGGGUAAAGGCCCACCAAGGCGACGAUCCGUAGCUGGUCUGAGAGGAUGAUCAGCCACACUGGAACGGAGACACGGUCCAGACUCCUACGGGAGGCAGCAGUGGGGAAUAUUGGACAAUGGGCGCAAGCCUGAUCCAGCCAUACCGCGUGGGUGAAGAAGGCCUUCGGGUUGUAAAGCCCUUUUGUGGGGAGAGAAAAGCAGCAGGUUAAUACCCCGCUGUUCUGACGGUACCCGAAGAAUAAGCACCGGCUAACUUCGUG
rnacentral:rRNA from 1 species